UAGGUGAACCUGCGGAAGGAUCAUUACCGAGUGAGGGCCCUCUGGGUCCAACCUCCCACCCGUGUUUAUCGUACCUUGUUGCUUCGGCGGGCCCGCCUCACGGCCGCCGGGGGGCAUCCGCCCCCGGGCCCGCGCCCGCCGAAGACACACAAACGAACUCUUGUCUGAAGAUUGUAGUCUGAGUACUUGACUAAAUCAGUUAAAACUUUCAACAACGGAUCUCUUGGUUCCGGCAUCGAUGAAGAACGCAGCGAAAUGCGAUAAGUAAUGUGAAUUGCAGAAUUCAGUGAAUCAUCGAGUCUUUGAACGCACAUUGCGCCCCCUGGUAUUCCGGGGGGCAUGCCUGUCCGAGCGUCAUUGCUGCCCUCAAGCACGGCUUGUGUGUUGGGCUCUCGCCCCCCGCUUCCGGGGGGCGGGCCCGAAAGGCAGCGGCGGCACCGCGUCCGGUCCUCGAGCGUAUGGGGCUUCGUCACCCGCUCUGUAGGCCCGGCCGGCGCCCGCCGGCGAACACCAUCAAUCUUAACCAGGUUGACCUCGGAUCAGGUAGGGAUACCCGCUGAACUUAAGCAUAUCAAUAAGCGGAGGAAAAGAAACCAACAGGGAUU
rnacentral:rRNA from 1 species